rnacentral:rRNA from 1 species
GAUGAACGCUGACAGUAUGCUUAACACAUGCAAGUCUUUGGCGAAGCUGUGCUUGCACAGCCUAGCCAAGGCGGACGGGUGAGUAACGCGUAAGGAACUUGCCCUGCAGUCAGGGAUAACAGACGGAAACGACUGAUAAGACCUGGUAAAGUCAGGCGGACUCAUGUCCAGCCUGAUGAAAAGAGAUGCUGCAGGAGAGCCUUGCGUCCUAUUAGCUUGUUGGUGGGGUAACGGCCCACCAAGGCGAUGAUAGGUAGCCGGCCUGAGAGGGUGGACGGCCACAAGGGGACUGAGAUACGGCCCUUACUCCUACGGGAGGCAGCAGUGGGGAAUAUUGGACAAAGGGGGCAACCCUGAUCCAGGCAUUCUGUGUGCACGAUGAAGGUUUUCGGAAUGAAAAGUGCUUUCAGCAGGGAAGAAAAAAAUGACGGUACCUGCAGAAGAAGCGACGACUAAAUACGUG